rnacentral:misc_RNA from 1 species
AAGAUGCCAUUUGUAAACAAGCCAAAAUGGAGGAUUUAGUGAAGGUCAAAUGUAAAGAGAUGUGAUUCAAGUCAUUAAAAGAAACAACAGCCAGCAGCAAACAACCAAAAUGAAGCAAAAGGAGAUAAGGCCGCUAUUGGAGGGCAAUGAGCUUUACCCUACAGGGAUAGCACCGGUGAAAGGAUGGGGAAAAAUGUAUGUUCCUGAAGACAAGGUGCAGAUUGAUGAUGAUUUUGAGGAAGAGAUUCUGAUGACGGAGCGUCGCCGUAAAAGAAGAGUGUCUCUGUUAUGGCAGGACUGCUUUCUUCUGAUUCUGGACUUUCUACAGUUCUUAGCCAUUUAUCAGUCCAUGGCCCUCAGAUGGACAUGGCCUAAGGAAUGGCUGUCAAAUACUUACUUUGUCUUCCUCUUUAAUCUUGAUGUGUAUGAAUUUGUAAAGCUGCACUCGGGUGUGUAUGCCAGUGUACAGAAUUACAACACUCCAAGCUCGUCAGUUCCUGUCCAGUUUUCGGCUAUUUCCAUUGGCUGGCUUGUGGUCAUUCUGAUGCUGGCUGCUGUAUAUCCCAUCAUAUACGGAGUCCUGUGGUACAGAAAGAGUCCUGCACUGAUGACCAAAAUGGCCUACACUAGACGUGUGUAUGUUGUGAUCCUACAGGCUCUCACACUCCCUCUGGCUACCUAUGUAGGUCACAUCUUCCAAUGUACGGACACCGACAGAGUGGACGUGAUGAAUGAUCUGAAGUGUUUCUAUGGCAUCCACUGGCUGUAUGUCACCUUUGGCCUGGCCAUUUUGCUGUUUCUAUUUGUUCUAUUCCCUGUUUACAUGGUAUUUAUCACCAGAUCGGAAUCGGUAGGGUCCUGUCCAAAGCACCACGAAUCGUUCCUUCUUCUGAAAGAAACAGAGUACAAAGUCGGACUCAACAAAUCCUGGCUGGUUGCAAACAUGUUUGUCUUUUCUUCGUUUCGAUUCUGGGGACUGUAUCACAGAGCAGUGAUGCAAUGGUUAAAAUUGGCCAUCAUCAUCGCUUUUUGCGCUGGUUUUAACAACAUUUCAAGCCAAUCCCUGGCUGUGACUCUGCUCUUCUUUGGAUAUUUCUUGGCUUUUAUUUUUGUUCGCCUGCACCACAGAUGUCUGAAUCUGGGUCCCGUCCCCAAUCUGCCACUAUGAGUCCCGGGCUAAGACAGCCACCGAGGUCAUCACCAACUGGAUCUAGACCAUCAUCAGGGAGGUCCGCCCACAGCAGUGUGUCAGCAGGGGGUCACAACAGAGAGGGCUCCAGUUAUCUAAAUGCUGGAUUCCAAGAGGACACGCCCCCAUCACAUGGAAAAGGAGACACUGACAAGAACCCAGCAAUGAAGAAAUAUGGGGAUGCUAAGAUUGUAGCAAAAAAGUUGAAGAAAAAGCGCAGCCGAAAACGAGAUUCUGAGGCUUAAUGUUUGGCUAGUGAAGAACAAGAUCAGCUAUAGGCUGAUGGUCGAGUGUUGUAUGAAAGUGGCUGGUCCACUUUUCUAUACUCAGCAUUUUGCUUACGCAUAGUAAUGCAUUCUUUGUGUAUUUUAUUACUGGUAAUAUUAAUUUUCCGUCCAACAUUCCUUAUUUACAAGUACAUCGUACAUGUUUAUUUUUAUUUAUUAUUUUAUAUUCAAUUUUUUUUAUAAAUUAUUUCCAGUUGUAAUUUUUCUUUGUAACAACAUUCCUUUUUGAUAGAUUUAUUGAUUUUUAAUACAUUCAUGUAUCCAUUUUUCUUGUUGAUUAUGAGCCAAUAUAUGUGCAAUUUCAAGAACUGUGAUUUUUGGUUUUUUGUUAUCUUAGUGUUACUUUACAAGUCUCUAUUUCUAUUUCACAUGAACAAAGACUUUUUAAAAAUUUGUCAUAUUAAUAAGAUAAAUGUAUAUUACAUUGCUAAACAAUAUCUGUUGAUCGCUAUGAGAAUGAUCCUAUUUCGUAACAAAAAUCAAUAUAUUUCAUUAUCAGAAAAAUAAAUAUAGUAAC